CAGGGCAGCCCUCUCAGAUGCCCCAUAAACCACCUCCCUAAGGGCGAAUGUCCAGACCCUGUACCUAAAACUAAUGUGUUCGGACAAAAACAAAUAGCUGGGCAUGUUCUACACAGGGUUCCCUCUGGAACG